GCGCUCUUAGUGUAGUGGUAACACGUCCUCAUGUUAAUCGAGGAGAUCCUGGGUUCGAUUCCCAGAGGGUGCC